rnacentral:rRNA from 1 species
GAUGAACGCUGGCGGCGUGCUUAACACAUGCAAGUCGAACGGAAAGGCUCCUGCUUGCCGGGGUACUCGAGUGGCGAACGGGUGAGUAACACGUGGGUGAUCUGCCCUGUACUUCGGGAUAAGCUUGGGAAACUGGGUCUAAUACCGGAUAGGACAACUUUUUGGAUAUUGUUGUGGAAAGCUUUUGCGGUAUGGGAUGAGCUCGCGGCCUAUCAGCUUGUUGGUGGGGUAAUGGCCUACCAAGGCGUCGACGGGUAGCCGGCCUGAGAGGGUGUACGGCAAAAUUGGGUCUGGGGACCGCCCAGGUCGCCGGCGGGGGGCGGGAGGGGGGAAUUUUACACAAGGGGGCGCGCGUGGUUGCGAGGGCGGCGGGGGGGGAUGGAAGGUCUUGGGGUUUAAACCCCUUUCCGGAGGGGAAAAUUGUUUUUUUGGGCGAAACGGGGAGAAGAGGCCCCGGCAACCUCGUG